GUCGAGGAUCAUUUGCAAUGGGCGCAAGCCUGACAAUGCGACGCUGCGUGGAGGAUGAAGGCCUUCGGGUUGUAAACUCCUGUCAUUCGGGAAAAACGAUCCCGCCGUGAAUAGCGGCGGGAAGUGAUGGUACCGGAAGAGGAAGCGGCUGCUAACUCUGUGCCAGCAGCAGCGGUAAUACAGAGGCCGCAAGCGUUGUUCGGAUUUACUGGGCGUAAAGGGUGCGUAGGCGGUUCCAUGUGCCGGAUGUGAAAUCCCACUGCUCAACGGUGGAACGGCAUUCGAGACUAUGGGGCUAGAGUGCAGGAUGGGAGAGCGGAACUCUUGGUGUAGCGGUGAAAUGCGUUGAUAUCAAGAAGAACGCCGGUGGCGAAGGCGGCUCUCUGGAAUGCAACUGACGCUGAGGCACGAAAGCUGGGGGAGCAAACAGGAUUAGAUACCCCAGUAGUCC
rnacentral:rRNA from 1 species